rnacentral:rRNA from 1 species
GACGAACGCUGGCGGCGUGCUUAACACAUGCAAGUCGAACGGAAAGGCCCUGCUUGCAGGGUACUCGAGUGGCGAACGGGUGAGUAACACGUGGGUGAUCUGCCCUGCACUUCGGGAUAAGCCUGGGAAACUGGGUCUAAUACCGGAUAGGAGCCAUUUUUAGUGUGAUGGUUGGAAAGUUUUUUCGGUGUAGGAUGAGCUCGCGGCCUAUCAGCUUGUUGGUGGGGUAAUGGCUUACCAAGGCGGCGACGGGUAGCCGGCCUGAGAGGGUGGACGGCCACAUUGGGACUGAGAUACGGCCCAGACUCCUACGGGAGGCAGCAGUGGGGAAUAUUGCACAAUGGGCGCAAGCCUGAUGCAGCGACGCCGCGUGGGGGAUGACGGCCUUCGGGUUGUAAACUCCUUUCGCUAGGGACGAAGCUUUUUGUGACGGUACCUAGAUAUGAAGCACCGGCUAACUACGUG